UACCAGCACCCCGAGUGGUCGGACGUUUAUUGGGCCGUAAAGCAUCCGUAGCCGGUUCUACAAGUCUUCCGUUAAAUCCACCUGCUUAACAGAUGGGCUGCGGAAGAUACUAUAGAGCUAGGAGGCGGGAGAGGCAAGCGGUACUCGAUGGGUAGGGUAAAAUCCGUUGAUCCAUUGAAGACCACCAGUGGCGAAGGCGGCUUGCCAGAACGCGCUCGACGGUGAGGGAGUGAAAGC
rnacentral:rRNA from 1 species